UACAGAGGGUGCAAGCGUUAAUCAGAAUUACUGGGCGUAAAGCGUGCGCAGACGGUUGCGUAAGUCAGAUGUGAAAGCCCCGGGCUCAACCUGGGAAUUGCAUUCGAGACUGCAUGGCUAGGGUGCGGAAGAGGGAAGCGGAAUUUCCGGUGUAGCGGUGAGAUGCGUAGAUAUCGGAAGGAACACCAGUGGCGAAAGCGGCUUCCUGGUCCAGCACCGACGUUCAGGCACGAAAGCGUGGGGAGCAAACAGG
rnacentral:rRNA from 1 species